GAUGAACGCUGGCGGCGUGCCUAAUACAUGCAAGUCGAGCGAACGGAUAAGGAGCUUGCUCCUUUGAAGUUAGCGGCGGACGGGUGAGUAACACGUGGGUAACCUACCUAUAAGACUGGAAUAACUUCGGGAAACCGGAGCUAAUGCCGGAUAACAUUUGGAACUGCAUGGUUCUAAAGUAAAAGAUGGUUUUGCUAUUCCUUAGAGAUGGACCCGCGCCGUAGUAGCUAGUUGGUAAGGUAACGGCUUACCAAGGCAACGAUACGUAGCCGACCUGAGAGGGUGAUCGGCCACACUGGAACUGAGACACGGUCCAGACUCCUACGGGAGGCAGCAGUAGGGAAUCUUCCGCAAUGGACGAAAGUCUGACGGAGCAACGCCGCGUGAGUGAUGAAGGUUUUCGGAUCGUAAAACUCUGUUAUUAGGGAAGAACAAAUGUGUAAGUAACUGUGCACAUCUUGACGGUACCUAAUCAGAAAGCCACGGCUAACUACGUGCCAGCCGCCGCAGUAA
rnacentral:rRNA from 1 species